ACAUACUAGUUGCGGACAAAUUAUUUUAGGUCAAUAUUACAACCUAACAAUUGCGGACACGCAUUUCGUUAUCAUAAUACUAAUUGCGUACAGAGAUUAUUUUUAAUAAAAACCACGUGAUUUGCGGACACAAAUAUUUCCCUUCACCACUUUUCAGGACUUAGGACAAGCUACCAAAAAAUUGGUAGGUGGGGUUAAAAAUAUGUGUGUCUUGCAAAAGUGCAAUCGUUAUUUUUAAAAUUAUUUAAAGUUAGGUACUGUAUUAGGUAUAUAAUAUUACUAUUUAAAAUUUUAAAUUUUGUGCCAGCAUUCGUUUGGCCCUAUUCAUACUAAAAAUUACUAUUAUAUUAAAUAUAUUUAAUUGAAUUUAUUUAAUAUACUCUACGUUUAAAUAUUAAUAGUAACAUAAACAAAAUUAAUUUAUAAAACAUGAGCACGAUGAUUGCAGAUUGAUUAGAUUUUGGAGGGAUUUGGUAUCAUAGAAUCUAUAUUGUACAAUAUCUCACAUAGUACUGAUGUUAGAAACGAGAUUAGCACAUUUUAUGAAAAUUUAAAUUACAUAGAAUUUUAAAUAAACACUUGGCAUAAAUAUAAUUUGGAAUUAAUUUAUGUAAACUUUUAUUAAAAAUGUACUAUCUCAAAAUUAUAAUUAAAAAAAAUAUUAAGUACGUUUUGGAUAAAAACUAUUUAAUCACUGAUACCAAAUAUAUAGGAAAAAGAGCGUUUUGCUUGAUAAUGGAAAUAGACCUUUUUGAAAAAUAAUGAAGGAAAUAGUACGUUUUGCAGAAGUUACUAUGUAAGGUAUAUUUUUAACAUUGGAAAAGGUCCAUUUUGAAGCAAAAUGGAAAAAGAACGUUUUGCAUUGAAAGUUACUUUGGAAAAGGAACGUUUUGCAGAAAACAUAGUUUUUGAAUCAACGUUUUCUUAAGGAAAUAGUGCUUUUUGGAUUAAAAUAAUGGUACCAGUCGAUUCCCCAUACAAUUAACGAUAAGAAUCAAUGUAUAACUCAAUUUUCUUAAAAAUGGAAAAAGUACGUUUUGCAUUGAAGCCCCUCAAUUGGACAUUUGUCCGCAAUUCGUAUCUAUAUUUGUGUCCGCAUUUCGUAUAUUACCUUUUUAGAUUUCGUCCGCAACUCGUAUAGUUUUUGUCACUUUGUCCGCAAUUCGGAAACACCGCCACACAGCGCUGUUUGUAGUGCCAAAGGUUGCCAUAGUAGUGAUCACGUCAUCGUUAGUUUUUAAAUAUUAAUGUAACUCAAAAAAGUCGGUUAGUAGAGUGGCCAUUUCACGUCAAGGCUAAAUUUAUAUUAAAGUUUUAAAAUUGAAAUUCUAUUAAUACACAAUAUUUUUUUUUUUUACUCAUAACACAACUAAAACGAAUUUUUAUUACUAACAUUAAAUGAUUACUUGAAAAAAUAAAAAAAAAUGAUCAAAAAAUAACCUACAUGAUCACCUGUAAUGUACAGUAGUACACAAAUGGUGAAACAAAAAUAUUAACCUAGUGUAGUUGUCAACAUAAAAAGUAAAAGGAAAAAUGAGUAACGUGGCCAAUUAAUUAUACGAAAUUCUGUGAUGACAAAAUAUGAAGGCAGAAAAUGAAUUAGGUAAUUGCAUUUAUCAAUGAAGUAAAUAUGUUCAAUCAAGUUGUUUUUGUUACCGGACACUUCUCUUUACUCUUUAUACAUAUGAGUAAUGAAAAAAACUCAUCCUGUCGACAAACAGGGAUUUGAAAUCAGAGAAAAGGAGAAAUCUCAUUAAAUUCAUUUCGGAAACGGGAUUUUUCGCUUCAGUCUCACGUAGUAACUGGAAAAAAACUAUAGUUUAUACGUCAUUGCGCCAAGUGCAAUAUAAAUAAAAGAAUAUAAAAUAUAAUUAUUAUUUUUUUUUUUUUU